AGCCAUGGCAAUACCACCCUGAACUCAGAGGAUCUCAUCUGAUCUCAGAAGCUAAGCAGAGUUGGGCCUGGUUAACACUUGGAAGGGAGUACAGCCUCAGCUGGGUGUGGUCG
ensembl:rRNA 5S_rRNA 5S ribosomal RNA